UAAGGAAUAUUGGUCAAUGGACGCAAGUCUGAACCAGCCAUGCCGCGUGGAGGAUGAAGGUCCUCUGGAUUGUAAACUUCUUUUAUUUGGGAAGAAAUCUAUCUUUUCUUGGAUAGUUGACGGUACCAGAUGAAUAAGCACCGGCUAACUCCGUGCCAGCAGCCGCGGUAAUACGGAGGGUGCAAGCGUUAUCCGGAUUCACUGGGUUUAAAGGGUGCGUAGGUGGGCAGGUAAGUCAGUGGUGAAAUCUCCGGGCUUAACCCGGAAACUGCCAUUGAUACUAUCUGUCUUGAAUACCCUGGAGGUGAGCGGAAUAUGUCAUGUAGCGGUGAAAUGCUUAGAUAUGACAUAGAACACCCAUUGCGAAGGCAGCUCACUACGGGAAUAUUGACACUGAGGCACGAAAGCGUGGGGAUCAAACAGGAUUAGAUACCCUGGUAGUCCACGCCCUAAACGAUGGAUACUCGACAUCAGCGAUAAACUGUUGGUGUCUGAGCAAAAGCAUUAAGUAUCCCACCUGGGAAGUACGAUCGCAAGAUUGA
rnacentral:rRNA from 1 species